rnacentral:rRNA from 1 species
GUGCCAGCCGCCGCGGUAAUACGUAGGGUGCAAGCGUUAAUCGGAAUUACUGGGCGUAAAGCGUGCGCAGGCGGUUUUGUAAGACAGUGGUGAAAUCCCCGGGCUCAACCUGGGAACUGCCAUUGUGACUGCAAGGCUAGAGUGCGGCAGAGGGGGAUGGAAUUCCGCGUGUAGCAGUGAAAUGCGUAGAUAUGCGGAGGUACACCGAUGGCGAAGGCAAUCCCCUGGGCCUGCACUGACGCUCAUGCACGAAAGCGUGGGGAGCAAACAG